rnacentral:rRNA from 1 species
GGCAAUCAGGUGUCGAGUGCAAAGGUGCACACUGGGAGCUUGAUCUGUAAGACUGACAGGUCGAUCAGACGAAAGUCGGACUAGUGACCGGCACCGGCAGUGAAGCGGUGUCGCUCAACGGAUAAAAGUACCCCGGGAUAACAGGCUGAUCUUCCCAAGAGUCCAUAUCGACGGGAUGGUUUGGCACCAUCGAUGUCGGCUCGUCGCAUCCUGGGCUCGGAGUAGGUCCCAAGGGUGGGCUGUUCGCCCAUUAAAGCGGCACGCGAGCUGGGUUUAGAACGUCGUGAGACAGUUCGGUCUCUAUCCGCCGCGCGCGUUAGAAACUUGAGGAAGGCUGUCCCUAUACGAGAGGACCGGGACGGACGAACCUCUGGUGUGCCAGUUGUUCCGCCAGGAGCACUGCUGGUUAGCUACGUUCGGAAGGGAUAACCGCUGAAAGCAUCUAAGCGGGAAGCCUGUUCCAGAUGAGGUUUCUCACCCCUCGAGGGGGUAAGGCCCCCGGCAGACCACCGGGUUGAUAGGCCAGAACUGGAAGCACAGUAAUGUGUGAGGUGACUGGUACUAAUAGGCCGAGGACUUACCACAA